AAGCCGGCGGCCUCGGCGUCCCUGCGGCAGACAGGGCGGCACCCGCGGCUCCCCUUUCCCGCUGCGCGACCCUCGCUGCCGGGCCGGGCCUGCGCGCAGGUGCGGAGCUGCGAUCCCCGCCCCGAGGCGGAGCCAGCCCGGCCCCCAGCGGCCCAGCCCCCGCGUCUAGUCUGCCGCACCAGCCAGGCGUCUGUCCCUGCGUCCGUGUGUCCGUCCGUCGGUCCGCUCGCGCCACGAUCAGGGCUUCCGGGGGCCAACAAGGGGGCGUCGGUACCCCGCCGCACAGAGGCGGCCUCUGCCUCGGCAUGAAGUCCCGCAGGGACAAGCUGCACAUCCCGGCGCUGACCCUCGAAAACGCACCGCCGCCUCCGGGGAGCCCUCCCGGGCCAUCGGUCUGGCCCCGCCCUCACGUCCUGAGCUGAACCCAGAAUCCCCGGUCUUGGGCCCCUACUCCCUGAGGGAACCGC
rnacentral:lncRNA from 10 species